CGAUAAGCAGAUAAUAAAUUUCAACAGAACCUAUACGAUGAAAUUCAUAUUUCACGCAUGCGCACUUACCGAAAGAAGUCUAUAAGGUUCUCUUAAAAGAGGAAGCAUCUCAACUCUGUUCGAAUCAAAGAAGCCGACACGUUGUUUCAUACGAGAUAUCGGAGAUGGAAUUCAGAUAUGUAUUGCUAACAUUAUUGUUUUUGUGCUUCUUCAAAAUGGCAAUUUUUUCUCCACUGUCCGAGAUUAAAUCGAACUACUUAUCUGUUAAUAACUACUCUAACUCAAUAUCAAGGAGAAUAAAUAGAAGUAUCAGAAACGAUCGUAACAGAAUACUCAUACGAUUUCGAAAGCAUUCCAGUAAAAGAUCUCUGAACAGGAAUACUGUUAAAUACAAAUUUAGUAAUUAUGUUUAAAAAUAUUAUUAAGAUGGUGACUGUUUUAAAUGGUAUAAAAAAAAAAUUUAUCUUUCAAACUUGAAUCUUUUCUAGAGUUUGAAUAAAAUAUUUUAUCAUGCUCA
rnacentral:lncRNA from 1 species